rnacentral:rRNA from 1 species
AUGGAGCGAUUUCCUGACUGCCCAUGCAGCAUGCCACUGAUACAGUUGACUUCUAAGGAGGUCAAGAAUGGCAACUAUGGGCGUGAGUUCGUGAAAUGCGAGAGCAAGACAGAGGGGCGGAUCAUGAAGAAAUGCACACAUUUUGAAUGGCUGGAUGACAAUGUUAAACAUAUUCAAUUCAAUGGGGCCCCAACCUAG